AAUGCUCAGCUAACAAAAACGUCACCCGUGUAUCUCUUUUUUUUAUUUUUUUUUCACGGGAUUUAAUCAAGAGGAUCAGUAAUAUCGUCUCACCAUAUUUCCUUUGCGCUUUAAGAAUUAAUCCCUGCCAAUGCCAACUAGGCACUGACAUCUGUUUAACAUAGAGGUUAAUGACUAGUGUUUGAAAAAAAAAAAUAUAAUUAAUAAAAAAAUUAAAUCCAUUAAGGACAACGAUCUUCAGCACAAACGAAACAACCUGC
rnacentral:lncRNA from 1 species